rnacentral:rRNA from 1 species
AACGCGAAGAACCUUACCUGGGCUCGAACGGCUUAAGACAAUCCUUGGAAACAGGGACUUCCCGCAAGGGACUUGAGUCGAGGUGCUGCAUGGCUGUCGUCAGCUCGUGUCGUGAGAUGUUGGGUUAAGUCCCGCAACGAGCGCAACCCUUGUCCUGUGUUGCCACUCCCGUAAGGGAAGCACUCUCAGGAGACCGCCAGCGAUAAGCUGGAGGAAGGUGGGGAUGAUGUCAAGUCAUCAUGGCCUUUAUGUCCAGGGCUACACACGUGCUACAAUGGACGGUACAAAGCGCUGCAAACCCGCGAGGGGGAGCCAAUCGCAAAAAACCGUUCUCAGUUCGGAUCGCAGGCUGCAACUCGCCUGCGUGAAGCUGGAAUCGCUAGUAAUGCCGUAUCAGAACGAUGGCGUGAAUACGUUCCCGGGCCUUGUA